UACGGAGGGGGCGAGCGUUAUUCGGAAUUACUGGGCGUAAAGCGUGCGCAGGCGGUUAUGUAAGACAGAGGUGAAAUCCCUGGGCUCAACCUGGGAACUGCCUUUGUGACUGCAUAGCUGGAGUACGGCAGAGGGGGAUGGAAUUCCGCGUGUAGCAGUGAAAUGCGUAGAUAUGCGGAGGAACACCGAUGGCGAAGGCAAUCCCCUGGGCCGGUACUGACGCUCAUGCACGAAAGCGUGGGGAGCAAACAGG
rnacentral:rRNA from 1 species